rnacentral:misc_RNA from 1 species
CAAUCGGCGAAGCUGUCGUAACGGAGCGGAAACUGUGCGCGCCUGUCUGUCUGACUGUGUGUGUGCGUGUGUGUUUCACGGAGUACGGUCACCUUUGGGUGUAGAACUCCGCUGCGCAUACGCAUCAGGCGUCUUCUCCUCCAGCAUCUUCCUGCCCUCGCCUCGACCCCCCCCCCACGCAACUCCGCUGUGGAUUCUUUUUCGAGCCCUUCGCGCGCUCCCUCCCUCUCCCUCCUUUUUCUCCAUCGGCAGAUCGCACACAUCAUCAUUGCACCUCUGCUGUGUGUGUCUGCCCACCCACCCACUCUCAACCCCCCUCUCUCUGCUUCUCUUCGCGCACAGCUGCCCGUCGUUUGGCGUUUUGUGGGCACGUGUGUGUGUGUGUGUGUGUGUGCAUGCUUCCGUGUCCUGUUGUCGCGCAUGCUACCAUGUUUCUGGCCCUUUCCCUCCGCUGCUGACUCAUCCACCCCCACCCCGCCGCCCUUACUCCAUCUUUGAUCCGUCCCACUCUCUCUCUCUGGGAGACACACGCACACAGAAACAGAUACCCUGCUCCUGUGCCCAGCGUACGUGCCAGUGUAUCUCCCCCCACCCACCCGCCCCUCCCUGCGCGUGUGCGUGGGCGUGCGCGGGCCAAACAGACGAGAGCGUGCGAAGAGAGCGACUCGGGAGCAGCAUAGUAGCAGACAUUUUUUUUUUCUGAAAAACAAGAUGGCCUCUGUAUCCGAGAAGUAUCAGCCGACUGGCAAGGAGGUCCCGUUUGGGGGAGGCCGCUUUCUUCUCAGCCACCGCCUCGGCAACGGCUCCUUCGGCGACAUCUUCGAAGGCUACGACAAGAAGAGCCACCGCAUCGUCGCGGUGAAGCUGGAGCGCAAAAAGGCGCGCUAUCCGCAGCUGUCCUACGAAAGCAAGGUGUACCGCGUGCUGCAUCAGCCCCCAGUGGGGCAGAAUGAAGUGAACCCAAAGCAACUUUUUGCGGAGGGCAGCAACCACAGCGUUGUGAACGGUGGCACGGCGCAGGGCGACAGCAACAAUACCCCAUCCAACCUGCCACAGAGCGUCAACGCCACCGCGCAGCAGCAGCGCAAAUCAUUAGAGAUCAGCAUCGUUGUCGGCAUUCCGCAAAUCUACUACUUCGACAGCGAGGGCGAUUACAACAUCAUGGUGAUGGAGAUGUGCGGCCCCUCGCUGGAGGACGUCUUCAACUACUGUCACCGUCGCUUCUCUCUCAAGACGGUGCUCAUGAUUGCUGAUCAGCUGCUGCACCGAAUUCAGUACUUUCACGAAAAAGGCUUCGUGCACCGCGACAUCAAGCCAGAAAACUUCGUGUUCGGCUGCCGGUCCAAGGCGCACAUCCUCUACAUCAUCGACUACGGGCUUUCCAAGCUGUACUGGGAGGUGAAGAAAAACAGUCACAUCCCCUUUGCGGAGGGUCGCCCGCUGACCGGGACGGCGCGCUACUGCAGCACCAAUGUGCACCGCGGCUUCGAGCAGAGCCGCCGUGACGACCUCGAGUCCAUCGGCUUUCUCCUCAUCUACUUUCUGCGAGGCAACCUGCCCUGGCAAGGGAUCCAGGCGAAGGACCAGCAGAUCAAAACCAUCAAGAUCGGGGAGACUAAGAUGGCCACGCCGCUGGAGGAGCUGUGCAAGGGGAUGCCAAAGGAGUUUCUCAACUACUGCCAGUACUGUCGUUCCUUGUCCUUCACACAGAAGCCGGACUACGACAGCCUGCGGCGCCUGUUCCGCGAUCUAGGCAAGCGGCUCGGGCUGACACUGCCCGCGCGCGAUUUGCCUAGUGGCAACUUCUGCGCAGCAAACCGCACUGGCGCGAAACCGUCCAACCCGCUCGCGGUGCCCGCCAUGUUGUCCACCGAUAUCACAUCCCCGACCGAUUCGCGGCUGCUGAGUGUCGUGAGUGAGUCUACGGUGAACAGCCGGCGCAGCCAUCCGUUCCAGACCCCCAGCACCGUCGCAGCGCAGGUCCUGCCGACUCUCGAGGACGUCGAUCCGAUGCGCGGCCCGUAUGACUGGUGCUUCGACUGGUUCUGUAAGCGGCAGAUGGAGGUCAAGAGGGGGAUGGAGGAGCAGUCGCGGCAGCAGCGGCUCGAAACGCAGAUGUCGGCUAUCGCGUCUCGCAACAGCGAGCUGCGCCUCGAGGAUGUCUCCGACGUAAUGAACGGAUCGACGCAGCGCGACAAGAACAGCGCCUUUGGCAGCAAGCGUCCUAUGUUCAGCAGUCCAUUGCAGCCGGAUCGCCUGCGCAUGUAGGAAUGUUGCAGUGUGUGCGUGCGUGUGCGAGAAAGCGGGGGUGAUGCAUACGCCUGUGCAUUGCAAGCUCAUGACCGACACCACAUGCCGUGAGAAAAAGGGGGAGAGCCGCACAGAGGACGCGUGCACGCGUGGCGUAAAGCUGCCACUGUCGUCUCCUCCGCACACCCCCUUCUGCAACCGUCCCGUCACUUUCACGUACCGUAUGCCCUGCGGUUGCGCAGAUCUCUGCUACGGCAACCCUUUUCCUGUCCCCCUGCCACUCCCGCAACGGGUCUAGUUCCAACUGGACAUACCCCCUCUUCUUCACCUUGUGCAGUCCUCUGUAGGGUUUCUUUUCUCUGGCGCACCUCGUCCUCCCCUCUAUGCGCUUAUAUGUCUGUUCGUAUGUGUGUGUGUGUGUCUGUCAUCUUUCCCCUCUCCCACCCCUCCUCCCACUCUCUGUGUGGAUGUGAGUAUGUUAUGUAUAUCCGCCGGUGUUCCCUCUGUGUGUGUGUGUGUAUGUCUGCCGUUGUAAAGGCAAAGGACAGGGAGAGCGAGAGAGAUCGCGUGUGUCCUCUUCGCUCUCCUCCCCGCCACCGCCUCCAGGCCCGCAGCCUCUCUCUCUCUCCCGCUCACAUGCCGCCCCACCGCCCACCCAAAUGUUCUUCCUUGAUUUCUCAUAUAGAUGUGCGUGUGUGCGGCUCUGAUGACGGGGACACCCCAGUGUGAUGCCAGGGUCAGGUACCUACGACCGUAGCGGGAGGCCAGAGCGAUGUACCGCUACGGGUGUCGGCGGUGUCAGGCCCUGGACUGGCGCUGCAUCGAAGCGGCCUGCGACAGUGAGCACGUUUGUGCCAUCCAUGCGAUUGGGCAGAGUGUCAGCGUCACUCGAAUACAUCCCCCCGGCCCUCACCGCGCCCUGGCUCGGGGAGCCCGAGGCGCCCCGAGGGAUGCGCGACGUGGCGACCGGGCACAAGGCGAGCGGCCGUGAGGGGCGACCUUGCGGGGCGGGGAGGGCGGGUAGAGGGUCUGGGGCGGAGGCCGCGCUUCGCUGACUGGGUCGGCGCAUUUCUGCAGCGGCGCGUGUCUACGGCUGCUUGGCGCCACGCAGUGUGGGGGCCUGUUGCAGCGGUGGGUGGGCCGGGUGGGAAGGAGGAAGGAGCGUUGUGCCCAUGCUGUAUGGCAGGGAAAGGGACACGUUGGGCAGCCAAAACGUGAAAGUCUUCUCCGCCACGCACACACGCGUAAUCGAUGCACCAUGCACACACUCCGACACCACCACAAGACGACAAAGGAGGAGGAAGGGGGCAAAAACAGGGAGCAGCAAAUGCGGAAUUCGCUUCAUCCCACCCGAACUGACUACAGCACAUCGUCACGGGGUGCGAAGCCUCGUCCCCCCAUCUCCACAAACCUCCUCCUUCUCCACCAGUGCCCACCUCACGCGCUCAUUCCGCGUCACUUGGACGUGUCUGUGUCUCCCUCCCCCUUCCUCUCUAAUAUCUCUCUUUUCCGCCUGCUCUUCUCUCUUCCGUGAAGUCGAUUCCAAUGUACAAGUGCGUGCCUCUCUCCCUCCCCACCCACCCACCCCCUCGCGUGUAGGUGUGUGUGUGUGUGUGUGUGUGCGUGUUUUCCGUGACCCACAUAUUGUGUGCCUCUCUGCAGUGCUGCUGAUAUCUACACACAUAUAUAUAUAUAUACCUCUGUAGUGGUUUCCUUCUCUUGCUUUCGCCGCCUCCUCUCUAUCGUGGUGGUCAUCCGUGCCUUGAUGGCCGUUGUCGUUGUCGAGGAGGAGGAUCGUCGCCGUGGCUAGUUCCCUUUUUCUUUUUCAUUCGCCUAUCACCCCUCUUUCUAUCCUAUCCCCUCUCUCUCCGCUACAUAUUUGUCUCUCCCUCUCUCUUCGUCGAGCAAACGCAGAUACUCACGGGCUCGCACAUACAAGCACGCACACACACACACACACACAUCACCGCCUUCUCCAUCGCUCAUCUCCCUCGUGCCGUCCUCUGCACCUUUAUCAUCCUUUUCAUUUUUCUUCGCGUUGUUUCUACCAGAUCUCGCUCUUCAGCGCUCUCUCUCUUCCCUUGUCUCCGCUUUCGUCUGUCCGUCCGUGUGUGCGUGUGUGUAUGCUCAGUUGAUGAUCAUUUUUUCCAGUUUGCACACACACACACGCACAGGCACAGGCGUGCAUGCGUGUGUGUGUGUGUGUGUGUGUGCGUGCAUCUGUGUCUGUGUGCGCGUGCGAUGUCGCCAUGUUGUGGGUUACCUCGUCUUUGUACUGACGCAUGUUUUCAUUUUUAUUAUUAUUUUGUUGUGUUUGUGUCGUCGAUCCCCCUUCCCGGGGGUGGGGGUGCCCUCCUCCACCGGCGCCUCCUCUGACUCCGGCUUCCUGCUCCUUCUCUUCCUCUCUCCAUGCGCCUGUGUGUCUGCGCAUGCAUAUGUGUAUCUCCUGCACUCGCUGGUAUCCCCGCUCUCUCUCUCUCGUUGCCGCAGACUUCCUUGCAGUGCGGCUGGCCGUUAUCUGCGGCUGAUGGUGUUUGUUGGUUAGUGUGCGGGGGCGGAGUACAUGGUAGUGGUUAUGAAGAGGUCGGUACGAUCUCGCCGAUGGAGAAGAUAGGUGAAGGAACUACACGGCACAAGCACGAGCGCGCACUCCGAAGGCAAUUUGCAUUUCUCGAACAAGUUC